rnacentral:rRNA from 1 species
UGUCUACAGUAGAGUCAAUAGCAAGGCCACGACGCAAUGGAGAAAGACGGAGAGCGCCAACGGCGUCCAUCUCGAAGGAGUCGCCAGCGAUAACCGGAGUAGUUGAAAUGGUAAUAAGACGACCAAUCUGACCAGCAAGGAAGCCAAGAUGGGAAAGGUCAUGCGGCAUACGCUCGGCGCCAGUUUGAAUAUUAGACAUAAUUUAUCCUCAAGUAAGGGGCCGAAGCCCCUGCAAUUAAAAUUGUUGACCACCUACAUACCAAAGACGAGCGCCUUUACGCUUGCCUUUAGUACCUCGCAACGGCUGCGGACGACCAGGGCGAGCGCCAGAACGUUUUUUACCUUUAGACAUUACAUCACUCCUUCUGCACGUAAUUUUUGACGCACGUUUUCUUCUGC